rnacentral:rRNA from 1 species
GACGAACGCUGGCGGCGUGCUUAACACAUGCAAGUCGAACGGAAAGGCCCUGCUUUUGUGGGGUGCUCGAGUGGCGAACGGGUGAGUAACACGUGAGUAACCUGCCCUUGACUUUGGGAUAACUUCAGGAAACUGGGGCUAAUACCGGAUAGGAGCUCCUGCUGCAUGGUGGGGGUUGGAAAGUUUCGGCGGUUGGGGAUGGACUCGCGGCUUAUCAGCUUGUUGGUGGGGUAGUGGCUUACCAAGGCUUUGACGGGUAGCCGGCCUGAGAGGGUGACCGGCGACAUUGGGACUGAGAUACGGCCCAGACUCGUACGGGAGGCAGCAGUGGGGAAUAUUGCACAGUGGGCGGAAGCCUGAUGCAGCGACGCCGCGUGCGGGAUGACGGCCUUCGGGUUGUAAACCGCUUUCGCCUGUGACGAAGCGUGAGUGACGGUAAUGGGUAAAGAAGCACCGGCUAACUACGUG